rnacentral:rRNA from 1 species
UACGGAGGGGGCGAGCGUUAUUCGGAAUUAUUGGGCGUAAAGGGCGCGUAGGCGGCUGUACAAGUCGAAGGUGAAAUCCCUCGGCUCAACUGAGGAACUGCCUUUGAAACUGUACGGCUUGAGGCCGGGAGGGGGUAGCGGAAUUCCCAGUGUAGCGGUGAAAUGCGUAGAUACUGGGAGGAACACCAGUGGCGAAGGCGGCUACCUGGACCGGUUCUGACGCUGAGGCGCGAAAGCGUGGGUAGCAAACAGG